GAUAAGAAGAGGAAUUAAACCUCUGUAAAAAGGCUACAGCCUAACGCCUAAACAUUCAGCCAUCUUACCUUCAGGCAUGAUGAAAUUUC
rnacentral:tRNA from 1 species